rnacentral:rRNA from 1 species
UACAGAGGGUGCGAGCGUUGUCCGGAAUCACUGGGCGUAAAGGGCGCGUAGGUGGCGGCCCAAGUCCAUGGUGAAAGCUCGCCGCUCAACGGCGAGUCGGCCACGGAUACUGGGUUGCUCGAGCACUGGUAGGGGCGAUGGAAUUCCUGGUGUAGCGGUGAAAUGCGCAGAUAUCAGGAGGAACACCGUGCGGAAGGCAGGUCUCUGGGCCACUACUGACGCUGGAGAAGCGAAAGCAUGGGGGAGC